UGUGACUCUAGCUGGUAUUAUCCCCGACAAACCACAUGUUAUAUUUAGAGGGGCUCCAAGCUUUAAAUCCAUCCUUACAAAAAAUUAUACUAAACAAAAUAAAACUAGCCUUCCUCCUUGCCCCUCUCCCAUUCCGAUGAAGCCUAAAGGUUUUUUUUUAGAUGUAAUAAAUGCACAGUAUGUAAACAUACGGAUAAUACUGUUAAAUCAAAAACUAUUUCUUUU